GGUCCUGUGAUGUAGUUGGUUAUCAUGUGGACCUAAUACGCAGUCGGCUUCGAUUGUACAAGUAUUUAGUCCAAUGUCGCCAGUUCGAGCCUGGUCGGGAUCA
rnacentral:tRNA from 1 species